UUUUUCUUUUUUUUUUCUGCCUUCUUACAUUCUUUCUAGAAAGAGAUGGCACCAUCUGAAAGAAAAUCACUUAUACUCAAGGAAAGUGAAAAAAUCUACUCUUCCAGGCUCUAUGUCUGUGAGAGGGCUUCACAGGAGGUGUUUUGAAGAGAUUACAAGGGCUCCUGCAGCACAAAUAAAUGUGGCUUCUUCAUCUAUGUACUUUACCUUCAUCCCUUUCUUGAACUGGUUUAUGGGUGUGGAUGAGAAGAGAACUAAUUAUACAACAGCUUUGAUUCUCCUACUCUUUAUCUUUACUCAAGUGCUGGCAAUGGACACGUUGCUGGUGGCAUAGGAAAGUAAUUUGGUGAUUUCAGUUCAAUAUGGGGAAUUGAGCUGAUAAGGAAAAUCUCUCCACCAGCUACACACACAUAAAAGUAUUAAACACAACAUUUUUACUACCUAAUUAAGCUUGAAACAAAGAGAAGGAAACCUACAGGGUUAA
rnacentral:lncRNA from 1 species